rnacentral:rRNA from 1 species
AGUGAACGCUGGCGGUAUGCCUAACACAUGCAAGUCGAACGGCCGCACAGUAAGAGUGGGCUUUUACGGGUGGCGGCGGGCGGGCGAGUAACGAAUAAAUAACAAACGACUUUUACUAGGAUGACUACGACAGGCAACUGACGCUAAUACAUCAUACUACCAACGGCUGGAAUCAGGGGAGAUAGGCACUGUUCGCGAGUCAUUGAGCCGGUGUCGGGUUGACUAGUUGGGGAGGUAAAGGCCAACCAAGGCAACGGUACGUAGCCGGUCUGAGAGGAUGACCAGCCACACUGGAACUGAGACACGGUCCAGACUCCUACGGGAGGCAGCAGUGGGGAAUAUUGGACAAUGGGCGCAAGCCUGAUCCAGCCAUACCGCGUGCGUGAAGAAGGCCUUCGGGUUGUAAAACCCUCUUGUUCGGAAAGAACAUCAGCAUGUUAAUAUCCCCCCAUUCUGACGGUACCCAAACAAUAAGCACCGGCUAACUUCGUG